rnacentral:misc_RNA from 1 species
UUAGUUUAUUUAACUAAUUUCAGAUUUAACAUGGUUAAAAGAGUUUAUUGCGGGCUACUGACGAGCACUGGCCAAGGGUCAAAACCCCCGACGGUCCGGUUAAAGACGGGCCCGCCAAAGCAACAUGGUAGUUAUACAAAGGGUUGGAGGUCGGGCCUAGAAGACCCUAACUCAUUAAUGAUCCUUCCGCAGGUUCACCUACGGAAA